rnacentral:rRNA from 1 species
CGCGUAGGCGGCUUUGGCAGUCGGCUCGUGAAAGCCCGGGGCUCAACCCCGGAGGUGCGGCCGAUACACCAAGGCUGGAGGCCGGAAGAGGAGGGUGGAAUACCCAGUGUAGAGGUGAAAUUCGUAGAUAUUGGGUGGAACACCGGUGGCGAAAGCGGCUCUCUGGUCCGGUCCUGACGCUGAGGCGCGAAAGCGUGGGGAGCAAACA